GUCUGUUUUCACGGUGGCGUACGUUGUGACGACCCGGAUGAGAGGGACAAAAUCCCAACGCCUAGCACACCUGUAAAUACUCUCAAAGACUACAUCAAGGAUCAUAUUCCUCUCUUAGAAACGGAACCAGCUAUCGUAGAGAAAUGCAUGUACACGGUAACACCUGAUGAGAUCUUUAUCAUUGAUACAUUGCCAGAGCAUAAAAAUAUUGUCAUCGGUGCUGGUUUCUCAGGAACUGGUUUCAAAACUUCUCCGACCGUCGGAAGGUUACUGAGUGAAAUGGCAGUUGGGAUAAAACCUUUCUUAGACGUCACUCCUUUCCGAUUAUCCAGAUUCGAAUCCCAAGCAGGGCAAUAAAGAUUUCAAGGAUACCACAUAUUUAGAGAAGAGGAUACUGAUCUAUUCGAUAAUUUCAUUUCUGAAAAAUUUGUCUGAACGUGGCUUUAUUUGAUGUCAAUUUAUAGAAAAUUAAUAGAAAAAUUUCAUAAAGAGAUAUUGUAAUCAUAUUUAUCUAAGCAAUUUUUUUCUUUAGGUAUCAUUGUUGCAUUUAUAAUAUAUGCUGCAUACAUUAAUUAUUUGUAAAUUUGACUUAGACUAAAAAUAUUAAUACAAUCUCUU